rnacentral:rRNA from 1 species
UACGAAGGACCCGAGCGUUAUCCGGAUUUAUUGGGUUUAAAGGGUGCGUAGGCGGAACAGUAAGUCAGUGGUGAAAGCCUGUUGCUUAACAACAGAACUGCCAUCGAUACUGCUGAUCUUGAGUACAUAUGAUGUGGGCGGAAUGUGCCAUGUAGCGGUGAAAUGCUUAGAUAUGGCACAGAACACCGAUUGCGAAGGCAGCUCACAAAACUGUUACUGACGCUGAGGCACGAAAGCGUGGGGAUCAAAC